rnacentral:rRNA from 1 species
UACGUAGGGGGCAAGCGUUGUCCGGAUUUAUUGGGCGUAAAGAGCGUGUAGGCGGUUUGGUAGGUCCGCUGUGAAAACUCGAGGCCCAACCUCGAGACGCCGGUGGAAACCAUCAGACUAGAGUCCGGAAGAGGAGAGUGGAAUUCCUGGUGUAGCGGUGAAAUGCGUAGAUAUCAGGAGGAACGCCGGAGGCGAAAGCGAGUGACUGGCGCGUUCCUGACGCUGAGGUGCGAAAGCUAGGGGAGCAAACAGG